UACGGGGGGGGGCAAGCGUUGUUCGGAAUUACUGGGCGUAAAGGGCUCGUAGGCGGCCAACUAAGUCAGACGUGAAAUCCCCAGGCUCAACCUGGGAACUGCGUCUGAUACUGGAUGGCUUGAAUUCGGGAGAGGGAUGCAGAAUUCCAGGUGUAGCGGUGAAAUGCGUAGAUAUCGUAAGGAAGACCAGUGGCGAAGGCGGGUCUCUGGACAGUUCCUGACGGCUGAGGCACGAAGGUCAGGGGAGCAAACGGG
rnacentral:rRNA from 1 species